rnacentral:rRNA from 1 species
GACAGAGGUGCCAAGCGUUAGGCGGAAUCACUGGGCUUAAAGCGUGUGUAGGCGGAAUGGUAAGUACCUUGUGAAAUCCCACGGCUCAACCGUGGAACUGCUUGGUAUACUGCUUUUCUUGAGCCACUUAGGGGCUGUCGGAACAAACGAUGGAGCGGUGAAAUGCGUAGAUAUCGUAAGGAAGACCAGUGGCGAAGGCGGGUCUCUGGACAGUUCCUGACGCUGAGGCACGAAGGUCAGGGGAGCAAACGGG